CUGCUGGGUGGAGCUCAGAGGACUGCUGUGCGGGACUUCCAGCAGAUUUGAUUUCUGAGGGCAGAAAUCUAUGGACAUUUGACUGUUCUGCCUCCGAGUAGAUUUCGUGACGCACUUCUCCCCAGAAUCUGCAAACGAAGCAGCAUCUGUCACAAAGAUAGCCUGCCUGCUGAGGACAUCAGUGUUAACCGCACGCUUCACUGUUGCUCCCACACCAUCCACUGCACCUUUGCCAUGGCUUGUGGCAAAGAAGUGCCACUGCACUUUUAAAGUUGGAAACAACUCCUUGAAGGUGGUUGACAUGAAACACCAGAUUAAUUUGUUUUUGAACUGAGAGGCAGCUCCAUCGCUAAAAAUGUGCAUGACUCUCAUUGCUGGAUGUUUUUCUUGAACGUCCAGGACAAUCUUGGUGAGGAACGUUGCCACGAACCUCUUGUCAUCUUCCAAGCUGUCGCUAACUAUGGCAUAUGACUCUGGAUCUCCAUCAGACCACAGAACAGAGGGAAACACAGUGAUCUGUUUCUGAUGCCAGUAUGCUGACUGAAUCUGAUCUUGUUAUACUUUCAACAGAUCAGGACAUCACAACCCCUUUUCUGAUGAUACAUCACGUCGCUGACUGGACACAGACAACUGAGUGUAAGAAUCAUCGACAGCGAGAUGAGAGGAGAACCCACCUGA
ensembl:lncRNA